AACAUCAAAGGAUUUUCAAUAAGGUAUGCUGAGAUAGUUUUUAUUUUUGAGAGUUUUGGCAUUAUUAGAGUUUGUUUUAAUUUUGUAAAAUAUUUUAGACUCAUCAUGUAUUAGAUCUGGAGAGUUUCCUAAUUUUUAGAACUUGUUUGGUUAAUGAGAAAAAUUGAGAAAAUGAAGAGCAUCACAAUAUCUCUAUUUGGAGUAAUUUGGAACUAAUUUAAGUUGAGG
rnacentral:lncRNA from 1 species